AACUAACAGACACGAAGACAGAUCCAGCAGAAGCUGAAGUCUCUAGGACUGCUGGAUUAUUAUUCAGAGUGAUGGUGAUUAUUGUAGAGUUUGCAGUGUUUGCUGCUCCUACUGUGAUUCUUCUUCAGAUCAUCUGUGAAAGAAGAGCUGGGAGGAAGAACUCGCAGCAUCCAGAGGAAAUAGAGAUUAAUACAAUAUUAGAGUAAAAUACUCUACAAAUAACAGAAUACUGCAAGAUUUGUCUUCAUCUCGAUGAUAUGAUGAUAUUUAUACAGCUUACGUGCAUAUUUGCUCUAUAUACUGUACUGAAUGCUUUAAAUAUAAUAUUAAAUACAGAGAUCAACAGAAGUGCUUUUAAUAACCAUGAAUAAUUAUUACAGAAAUUCUAUUAGAAACACAUGGUAAUUUUCUAAUCUUGAUUCAUCUAUUCAUUGCAUUGAACUUUUUACAGGUAGCUUUUUAAAUGUUGUAAUAGUCCAUUUUAACUGAUGAUGCUACAAGUCUGUUAAUUAUCAUACGACAUAUUUACAGAUU